AAUCAACGCUGGCGGCGUGCCUCAGACAUGCAAGUCGAACGAUUAAAGCUCCCUUCGGGGAGUGCAUAAAGUGGCGCACGGGUGAGUAACACGUAAGUAAUCUACCCUCGAGUGGGGAAUAACGUCCGGAAACGGACGCUAAUACCGCAUAAUGCAGCGGCACCGCAAGGUGACAGUUGUUAAAGAUUUAUCGCUUGAGGAGGAGCUUGCGGCAGAUUAGCUAGUUGGUAAGGUAAUGGCUUACCAAGGCCGCGAUCUGUAACCGGUCUAAGAGGACGGUCGGUCACACCGACACUGAAUAACGGGUCAGACUCCUACGGGAGGCAGCAGUCGGGAAUUUUGGGCAAUGGGCGAAAGCCUGACCCAGCAACGCCGCGUGAAGGAUGAAGUAUUUCGGUAUGUAAACUUCGAAAGAAUGGGAAGAAUAAAUGACGGUACCAUUUAUAAGCUCCGGCUAACUACGUGCCAGCAGCCGCAGUAAAAC
rnacentral:rRNA from 1 species